rnacentral:lncRNA from 1 species
CUUCUCCUCACAGCUGCUCUCUCAGGAUUUUGCAGUCUAACUCAUUAGAGAAUUCUGACAUGUGCUCUAAAGGAGCCGCGUUUCAUGCUAGAAUUGGGAAGGAGAUAAUCCUGGUGACAUCUCACCAGUGCUGAAGGUCAGCCAUGCGACAAUGGAUGAACCACAUGCCAGAGAUGAAGUCACGGUACUGGCUUUAUGAGUUCUUGCAGCUGCACAACAGCCCGAGAGACUCUCACUGCCUUCUGGAGCAAGAAAACGUGCCUGCAGAGCUUCGAGCUACACUCGUCAGUUUCUAAGGCACCAGGGAGCCGCCUUCUUUUGCAGAGGGGACCUUCAUCUUUGUAAAAGUUAGUCUCCAGGCAUCCAGUUGUCUGGGGCAAAUCUCCUUCAUCAACAACCCUCCUAGGGAGAGGUGGGAAGGAGGAAAGAGACUGGGAAGCAGCGAGUCCAGCAUCACUGGUUGGAAUACUCUAAGUGAUGCAAUGAACUGACAGGUGCCUGGGGACCCUUCAGGAGCUCAACCUCCUAUAAGAGGGGAUCUGGCAGCAGAAACCAACAUCUGUUUUCAUCUGAACUAAAACAAGGAAUCACCAAAAGCUUGACCAAAGGCAGCCCGUGAGGAUGCCCGCGACUCUGCGAAGACGCACUCACUGUCCAAGACCUGGGGGCUGGGAGGUGUUCUCUAACGACAGGAAGAGAGGUCAGCUGCAAACACUCCUUUUACAAGAAAAAUGCAACUGCUUGGAGCAGUUCACUUAUGCUUGGGCUGAAGCAGAUAAAAUAAAGUGGAAAGAGUGCUGAAGUUUAUGCCAUUUAGUCUGGGCCUCUGGGAACAGAUACACGGAUAGACGAGUGAGCGAGAGAACGAACGAACGAAUGAAUAUGGAAUUAUCCAAAGACUGUCAAGAACAGCCGCUGCUAAAAAAAGAAAAAAAAUGCUGAAAAUAUUUUUAGAUUCAGAAAAAUCAUAUUCUUCUUGGUAAGUGACAAAAAUGGCUUAAAGCUAAAACUAAAACAAAGUUGUGUGAAAGGGCAG